GAUGAACGCUGGCGGCGUGCCUAAUACAUGCAAGUCGAGCGAACAGACGAGGAGCUUGCUCCUCUGACGUUAGCGGCGGACGGGUGAGUAACACGUGGAUAACCUACCUAUAAGACUGGGGUAAAUUCGGGAAACCGGAGCUAAUACCGGAUAAUAUAUUGAACCGCAUGGUUCAAUAGUGAAAGACGGUUUUGCUGUCACUUAUAGAUGGAUCCGCGCCGCAUUAGCUAGUUGGUAAGGUAACGGCUUACCAAGGCAACGAUGCGUAGCCGACCUGAGAGGGUGAUCGGCCACACUGGAACUGAGACACGGUCCAGACUCCUACGGGAGGCAGCAGUAGGGAAUCUUCCGCAAUGGGCGAAAGCCUGACGGAGCAACGCCGCGUGAGUGAUGAAGGUCUUCGGAUCGUAAAACUCUGUUAUUAGGGAAGAACAAAUGUGUAAGUAACUAUGCACGUCUUGACGGUACCUAAUCAGAAAGCCACGGCUAACUACGUG
rnacentral:rRNA from 1 species